rnacentral:rRNA from 1 species
AUUGAACGCUAGCGGGAUGCUUUACACAUGCAAGUCGAACGGCAGCGCGGACUUCGGUCUGGCGGCGAGUGGCGAACGGGUGAGUAAUGUAUCGGAACGUGCCCAGUAGCGGGGGAUAACUACGCGAAAGCGUAGCUAAUACCGCAUACGCCCUACGGGGGAAAGCAGGGGAUCGUAAGACCUUGCGCUAUUGGAGCGGCCGAUAUCGGAUUAGCUAGUUGGUGAGGUAACGGCUCACCAAGGCGACGAUCCGUAGCUGGUUUGAGAGGACGACCAGCCACACUGGGACUGAGACACGGCCCAGACUCCUACGGGAGGCAGCAGUGGGGAAUUUUGGACAAUGGGGGCAACCCUGAUCCAGCCAUCCCGCGUGUGCGAUGAAGGCCUUCGGGUUGUAAAGCACUUUUGGCAGGAAAGAAACGUCGCGGGCUAAUACCCCGUGGAACUGACGGUACCUGCAGAAUAAGCACCGGCUAACUACGUG